rnacentral:lncRNA from 1 species
UCUGUAUUUGAAUGUACUCUGGCUGGAUCCCAAAUGGCCCCCUAUUCCCUUUAUAGUGCACUACUUUAGACCAGAGCCCUAUUCCCUAUAUAGUGCACUACUUUAGACCUAUGGCCUCUGGUCAAACGUAUUGCACUAUGAGAAUAGGGUGCCGUUUGGGAAGUCGCCUCUGAUAAUUGGUUAUUUUCCGGAUGUGGGUUUUGUAAUGCCUUAUUAUGUUGUAAUGGAGUGAUGGUGACUGUCUCAGCUCUGUUCUGGGAGAGACCACCGCUACCAAGCUAUGCAGUAACUGCUAGUUACGACCCAUCUGUUCUUAAUGGUGUCGCCAUACAGCUAGUUACGACCCAUCUGUUCAGAAUGAUGUCGCCAUACAGCUAGUUACGACCCACCUGUUCAGAAUGAUGUCGCCGUACAG